UGUUUAGCUGAAGGGGGGAAACCAUCUGCCUCCAUCUCCUGAAAGAACACAUUAAACUCUGCUUCACCCCUGGUCAGCAUCAUAGAGACAGUACAGAACCAUGAUAGCUCCUACCAAGAAGCAGUCUGGUAAUUUGGGGAUGAACAUCGCUCAUAUCCUGACGAUUGCAGGCAUCUGUACCAUUCCUAUCCUCCUGACCAUCACAUGUGUAGUGAGGGGAGUGUAGUGAGAGGAGGAAUCAGGGCCACAGAAUAUUACAAUUGCAUUGAGAAGGAAUAUGUCUUGGGGGAUGUUCCUGUUCUCGAUCCUAACAACCAGUCAUGGAGAUAGGGGCCUCCUUGGCAAAGGUAAGCCCGGACCAGACACAGACGAGAAACAGCUUCACUGCCUUGAAUACAGAGGUUCUGGCAUCUUCUUCCCCGGGGGCUUCCAAUUCGAGAUCUGAUCCAGAGGUACCUGAGCCUACGUCCUCUGUUCUGUCUCCUUUUCCGGUGGCUUCUACCUCAGGUUCAGAUCCUCAGAGCUCCCCCUCAUCGGACAGUGAGGCUGUCUAAGACUCUGGCCCAUUCAUCAUCCACGAUGGAUACUACAGCUGGCUCCGGUCCAUCGGACACCACCACCCUUUGUUCCUCGAGGGGUCUGUGAAACCACUCAAGGCUAAAGAACGGCCAGACUACCUCAGCCAUUGCACCAGCUUUUAUCAUUGGCAGCUCUAUGGUAAGAAACAUCUUGGUCCCGUGGCAAGAACCCUGUGCUAUCCUGGAGCACGAGUACAGGUCAUUACAAGGCUGCUUCCGACCAUUCUACGACAGCUGACGGGAGCUGACGCUGUCAUAGUCCAUGUGGGGUCAAACGACAUUAGGAGGGCUAGCUUGGAACUGCUAAAAAUGGAUUUGAUUCUAGCUUGUUGGGCCGAGGGUAUAAAAGAUUCAGCAGGCUAAUGGCGUUACACACCUGGCUAAACGUUUACUGUAGCUCUGUUGGAAUAACCUUUAUAUUUAACUUUGACACUUUAUGGAAACAGAAGAUGCUCUACGGUGUCAUGACUGUCCUGUGAGGAUCAGAAUGGGUCAGAUCAGACUGCUGGGGGAGGGGACAGUAACCAGUCCUUUCUCUCUCCCACAAAGGGGAGAGGGGGAGCUGCUGAAUGGUCGACCGUUCACUCUCAGUCAUUAAUUAAGCAGAAGAGAACUCUCUCUUUACUCUUUAGUUAAAGGGAUGUCUUUGUUUACAGACACUUUUGCCCGCCCAAAACUCUUGAUGUCCAAAAGUGGAAAAUGGAACAAUAAUUCUAACAUGGGGAUUGUGGGAAAUGGUCAGGGGGGAGAUGUAGAGAACUAACGUCAUAUUGUUUUUCAUUUUGGGAUGAUAUUAAAAACUGUAUGGACCAAAUACUGUAACUUGGAAAGGAUAACCUGUUAAUCUGUUAAGUUUCCAUCCAAUACAUUGUGCACAUAAUAAUAAAAAUGUAUUUUUUGUUAUGAUAGGAAUGUGAUUUAGGAGUCAUAAGAGAUAACUUCUAAUCAUAUCCUUUGCACAUUAAGUAGCCACGCCUCGAGUGAGGUCAGAGAGCUUGUCAGCAUGACGGAACGCUCCUUUUGGCCAGAGUGCAUAAAAAGCCUUGGUAACAAAAUUAACAUUAGACCAGGAAAUGUGAGGCGAGAGCCACAUAUUUUAAAUUGUUGAAACUCUGAACCUCAACACAAAUAAAAUAAACUCACUUUAUUUUAGACCAGAGAGACAAAGAGCUGCAGCUCAUGUCCAUCGUGGUCUGAAUCCUGAAUACCAACGCGAGGAGGAAGAGGCGAGAAGCUCACCUCAGACAAUAUCUGAUACAGCUGAUUAGCUGUCUUAAAUCAGAUAUUGAGAAAGCGAAUCUAAGUCAGACUAUCCUACUACGCUCAUCACAAAUGGGAACCGUCGACAUGGCUGGUUAUCUUCCAGAGUGAACAAAAGUAGAAGACGGGAAAGGGGAAACUCCUAUUUCAGACAAUCAGAGCCAUACACCUGGAAGGCCCACAACCUUCCGAAGGAGGGCUGUUCACAACAACACAAAGGUAGCAGCUUAUGGGGAUCCUUAACAAAUACAAAUACAAGGCUCCCCAACAGGCCCCACCCGCUCGCUUAACCCAGAAGCCAGCUGCACCAAUGUGUUGGACGAAACAUCGUUCAUCCACAACAAGCCACAAACAUCGCCCGGCCAGCCACAAGGUGUCGCUAGAGCGCAAUGAGCCAAGUGAAGCCCCCCAACCGCCAAACCCGCCCCUAACCCGGAAGACGCUGGGCCAAUUGUGCACCACCCUAUAGGACUCCCGGUCACGGCCAGUAGUGACAAAGCCUGGGUUCGAACCACAGGCUGUAGUGAUACCGCAACACUGCGAUGCAGUGUCUUAGACGGCUAUGUCACUCGGGAGGCCCAACACAGACCUUUUUUUAUUUGCCUGUGCUACAAAUGCCUAUAUCGGUCUGCUAAUAAAGGACUAGUAAAGGUCCAGUGCACUACUUUUGCGGAAAAAAAUAAUGUAAAAAAUCUUUGUUAUUAUUAAGAAUUUGUGAUUUUUCAGGGGGUGCUGCAUCACCCUCCGCACACCUACUUCCCACGGCUGUGAUGUGUUGUGUCAUCUGCAGGAUGUUUAUACUUAUGACUGCCUCUGUUUGCAGAAACAUCUCAGGAUACAGAAGUGGAACUGAGUGAGCUGAGAAUACAGGAAGCUGAUGUAGAUCAACAAAGCAGUAUUUGUGACUCUAUGACCUGAUGAUGUGAUCAAAUUGACAAAAUCAUAUCAGCUGUGUAACAUCUCUUUGUCUGCCCUUGAAUAAUAUCUAUUGAGGCAGAACGUUUAAUGUGAAAUGUAUAUCAACUGUAGCUGUUGAACACAACUUUGUUGCUUGCGUAAAUGAAUACAGUCAAGAAUGGAGAACUGCUUCAGUAAUUUAUUGAUCAGAAGAUGGCAGUAUUGUAACACACUGAAAGUGAAAGUAGCUAAAGAAAAUGGUUGCAACUGUUAAUGAACUCUAAUAGUGAAAGACUGAAAAGCAUCAGUCAUCAGGUGAAUGUUUCUUACCACAGGUGGUGCUGUACUAAGUUAGUCCACGUCCAUGUUAUAUUAAAGA